rnacentral:lncRNA from 1 species
CUGAAGGACCCCUGGAGUUGGGCCUGCGCUCUGGACGCUCCUGCCGGAAGUGGGCGGGAUCGCGUUGCAACGCGGCAAGGGCGAUGAGAGCGCGGAGGAGGCGCUGGUGGCCGAGUUUGGGGCGGGGACUGUCCCCAAUGCUCCGCAGCAAGGUUGGCUGAUUGUGGAGGCUAAAGCAACUCUACCUUGCCAGCUUAUCCACCAUGUGGACUUCUAAUUAAUCUCAGUUGCCGGAAUGCCUCUAAGAUUUCUACGUUAUCUACUGUGAAGAGCAAGUAAUUACUGCAAAUCCUGCCCUUGGGUCAAAACAACCUUGAUGACAUAUUCCUUCUGAAGCACAUAUACUCUUUCCCUAGCUGCCUGCCCUGCAGACUUCAGGCUCCAGCAUCAGACACAGAGACCCAGCGUUAUGGAGACUGUCUAACCAGAUCUCACAAUUGUGGAAGAUCCCAACUCCUACAGAAAUCUCUUAAAAACCACGUGUGGCUGGGCACAGUGGCUCAUGUAUGUAAUUCCAGCACUUUGGGAGGCUGA